rnacentral:rRNA from 1 species
UACGAAGGGGGCUAGCGUUGUUCGGAAUUACUGGGCGUAAAGCGCACGUAGGCGGAUCGAUAAGUAAGGGGUGAAAUCCCAGAGCUCAACUCUGGAACUGCCUUUUAAACUGUCGAUCUGGAGCAGAGUAGAGGUGAGUGGAAUUCCGAGUGUAGAGGUGAAAUUCGUAGAUAUUCGGAGGAACACCAGUGGCGAAGGCGGCUCACUGGACUCUUGCUGACGCUCAGGUGCGAAAGCGUGGGGAGCAAACAGG